UUUCCGUAGGUGAACCUGCGGAAGGAUCAUUAUUGGAUUUUGAAACUUCAGGCUGCUCCUGGCUCUCCUCGGAGGGCAUGUGCACGCUUGUUGUCCAUUAUUUCUCCCACUGUGCACAAAUUGUAGACCUUUCAGUAGGCCUAUGUUGUUUUUCACAAUCCCUGAAUGUAAUAGAAUGGUUUUGAAUCUUGGGAAAUACAAUACAACUUUCAGCAACGGAUCUCUUGGCUCUC
rnacentral:misc_RNA from 1 species